ACCUAUCAACUUAGCAACCGUACCGCGUCUGAUGUUCAGGAGAGCUAACCUAACGUCAUAUGCGGCUAUGACACAGCUACGUUGUUCCUAUUAAGUUUUCAUCAUACAUUGGCGACUGUAUCCUUUUUGCUUAUUAAAAACACCCACGUCCACGCAAGUCUACUGAAGAAACGGUUGCUUUUUCUGAACAAUACGUAUUUUAGCUUGGUUUGGCGGUGAUGGCAAUUUUUGAAGAACAAAUAAUUUACUUAGCUAUUUUGAGACUAAUUUGACUUCCUGAGUGGUUCAUCCUUUAAAGGCUCUUAGGUUCUGACCUGAUUUUAACUUUGCCAAUGCAACUGUGGUCGAGACUUCCGGUGGUUGUUUGGGGGGCAGAAAAACCUUCCGCUGCCUGGAAGAAAUGGAUUGCAAUAAUGCAGGACACUGAUAUAGGAGCAACUGUCCUUCAUUCAGAUAAGACAAUGCACUGACCCCCUCUGGCCACUAAUGGUCUCCUUGCGUCUUAACGAGAGGAGUAGGGGGUUGAUAUCGUGUUCAGUAAGGUUCAGUAGGGGGUUGAUAUCAUGUUCAGUAAGGCUCAGAUCAACCAGGGAUGGAAAUUGGUGAAGCUGAGGAGGGGCAGAGAAAUUCACACACUGCUUGUAAUCCAUUCCCAGCUGAAGUCCUAAUUUUGAGAAAGGUACUUUGUAUAAUUUGUAAAAUCCCCUUUAGGUGACCUCAUGUCUGAUCAGGGACCAUCUUCAUGUAGGAUCUCCAACAAAUCUUCACUGUAAACUUUCUGAGCCUGAUGUUCCUCCAUGAGCUGGGCCUCUGAAUUUGACUGAUGACCAGAAACAGAGUGUGUCCAUAUAACACAGCACAGAGGACCACAUUGGAAGACAGACGCUCAGAAACGACCCAGCAGGGCAGAGAGACAGAGACACCGCACCAUGCCUUGUGUUGUCAUGAAGACCGCUUUCACCUUCCUCUUCAUCGCGGGGCUCUGUGAAGGGGACACAGUCCUGCUCAGGGAGCAUUUUUAUAUGGGUGAAACACUGGAUUGGAAUGCUGCGCAAAACCGCUGUAGAACUUGGCUCAGGGACCUGUCUUCUGUGCUGACCGAGGAAGACGCGGAACGGGUUAUGAGCGCUCGUCCCGGAGGGUUCACGGGCAAGGCUUGGAUUGGUCUGUCCGGCACGGGGACGUGGUCGGCGUUGCUUUCUUCAUGGACAUAUACGUGGUUGUGGUCGUCAGGGGAGACAAUGGGCUUUACGAAGUGGGCUGCCAGACAGCCCAGUUCUGGUACCGCUGGGUCGCGAGCAUGUGUUUCUAUGCAGAAUGAUUACUGGUUAGAAGAGAACGAUUGCACUGUAAAGAUUCCAUCCUAUUGCUUUCAGGCAUAUAACAGGAAGUUGACUGUGGUGCAGGAGGCGAUGGCCUGGGAAAACGCUCUGGUUUACUGCAGGAGUAAGUACACCGACCUCUCCAGCCUGUUCUCAAACUACACUGCUGAGAAGGUUAUAAGCAGCACAGGAGCCACCACUGACUUUGUGUGGACUGGCCUGCGUUUCCUGACGGGCUGGUGGUAUUGGGUGAAUGGAGACCCCAUGCUCUAUAGUGUGUGGCCUAAUAGUGAGCAGUUCCAGUGUCCGGACAUGCCCCUCCGCUGUGGAGCCCUGUCAGUUAAAGAGAAAGUGUUUGUAGCAAGGCCUUGUGAUGAGGAGCUCGACUUCAUCUGUUACACACAGUUGUAGGGCCGUUAGGAGAGCGUAUGUACUUAGCACAGCAUUUUCUCUCUUGUGAUUCUACUUGUGUGUGUCUACUUCCAGUAAAUAUUUUACUUUACCAGUGUGAAAACUUUGGUGUGUUUCUGUAAAUUGUAUCUCAGUUAGAAUUCACUGAUGUUCUCACAUCUAUUUUUUAUUCAAAUAGAAUGUUUGUAAUUAAUAUUUUUUAUAGCUAUAUUGUCAUCCUUUGAUUAAUUUGUAAAACCUAGCAUUGUUGUAUUUUCUUGUAGUUUAAAUGACAUUGUUUCCCACGAUUCCAUCUCUGAUGUUAACAUAAUACAGACAUGUAUGCUUCUGCUUACAUCUCAGUUUAUAGUGUAAUAUCUUUCAUGCAUUAAUGCUCUACUUGUUGAUAUCACUUUAAUCAUUUUUAUGAUGACAUUGUCUUGCAAAUACAUAAGCAGUCCUAUACUCCAGUAACAGAGUGAAACGGUCUUUAACCAUACACAGACAUAUUUUAGUCUGUCAAUACUUAAGAUAUAUAGAACUUUUCAAUGAAAUGUAUGUAUAUUAGUUUUGUUAAUAAGCAUUUGUGAUGAUAAUUGUGAAACAUAAACAAUGCAAUUAGACAUUUCUUUAUUACAUUUAAUAUGAGAAACAAAAUAAAUGA